rnacentral:misc_RNA from 1 species
GAAAACUACACAAAGUAACAUUUCCACCCCACACCUUAAGAAGAAUCAGUAUUCUAUACAGAAAUGUGAAACAAAAUCAUUGCCUGGGAGAGACCCAUCCUUGCUAACAUUUAUUUGAUAUUGGAUCAUUUUUGUCGAGUAAAAGGGUUUUGAGAGUGGGGUGGGUUCAACAUUUUCUUCAUAUAUUCCAUUAUGGAAGUACAGCUCUAACUUCUUUCCUAUCUGCUCCAAAUGCCUC